rnacentral:rRNA from 1 species
CCUACGGGCGGCUGCAGUGGGGAAUAUUGCACAAUGGGCGCAAGCCUGAUGCAGCCAUGCCGCGUGUGUGAAGAAGGCCUUCGGGUUGUAAAGCACUUUCAGCGGGGAGGAAGGCGUUAAGGUUAAUAACCUUGGCGAUUGACGUUACCCGCAGAAGAAGCACCGGCUAACUCCGGCCAGCAGCCGCGGUAAUACGGAGGGUGCAAGCGUUAAUCGGAAUUACUGGGCGUAAAGCGCACGCAGGCGGUCUGUCGAGUCGGAUGUGAAAUCCCCGGGCUCAACCUGGGAACUGCAUUCGAAACGGGCAGGCUAGAGUCUUGUAGAGGGGGGUAGAAUUCCAGGUGUAGCGGUGAAAUGCGUAGAGAUCCGGAGGAAUACCGGUGGCGAAGGCGGCCCCCUGGACAAAGACUGACGCUCAGGUGCGAAAGCGUGGGGAGCAAACAGGAUUAGAUACCCUUGUAGUC